rnacentral:misc_RNA from 1 species
GAUGAAGAACGCAGCGAAAUGCGAUAAGUAGUGUGAAUUGCAGACUUUAGUGAAUCAUCGAAUCUUUGAACGCACAUUGCGCCCCCUGGUAUUCCGGGGGGCAUGCCUGUCCGAGCGUCAUUACAACCCUCAAGCUCAGCUUGGUGUUGGGCCCCGCCGCCCCGGCGGGCCCUAAAGUCAGUGGCGGUGCCGUCCGGCUCCGAGCGUAGUAAUUCUUCUCGCUCUGGAGGUCCGGUCGUGUGCUCGCCAGCAACCCCCAAUUUUUUUCAGGUUGACCUCGGAUCAGGUAGGGAUACCCGCUGAACUUAAGCAUAUCAAUAGCGGAGGA